rnacentral:rRNA from 1 species
GGAGUUAGCCGGUGCUUCUUCUGUGAGUGAUGUCCUUCCUGCCGGCUAUUAACCCGCAGGCCUUCUUCCUCACUGAAAGUGCUUUACAACCCGAAGGCCUUCUUCACACACGCGGCAUGGCUGGAUCAGGGUUGCCCCCAUUGUCCAAUAUUCCCCACUGCUGCCUCCCGUAGGAGUCUGGGCCGUGUCUCAGUCCCAGUGUGGCUGAUCAUCCUCUCAGACCAGCUACGGAUCGUCGCCUUGGUGAGCCGUUACCUCACCAACCAGCUAAUCCGACAUAGGCUCAUCCGAUAGCGCGAGGCCCGAAGGUCCCCCGCUUUCCCCCGUAGGGCGUAUGCGGUAUUAGCCUGGGUUUCCCCCAGGUUAUCCCCCGACUACCGGGCAGAUUCCUAUGCAUUACUCACCCGUCCGCCGCUCGCCACCAGGGAGCAAGCUCCCCGUGCUGCCGCUCGACUUGCAUGUGUUAGGCCUGCCGCCAGCGUUCAAUCUGAGCCAUAAUCAAACUCUGA